AUGGCACUGGCGCCGCGUCUGUCGCGCGCCCUCCGCCCCGUCCCCUCCCCCUCCCCCUCCGCCGCCGCCGCCGCCGCGCUCCUCGCCUCGACAUCGCCUCUCCCCGUACGCCGCUUCCUCCAGCUCCACGCGCACCUGCUCCGCACCGGCGUCCUCCCCCUCGCACCCGCCGCCGCCUCGGCCUUCCUUUCCCUCGCGGCCGCCUCCCUCCCGCCCCAUCGCGCGCUCGCCGUCCUCCACCACCACCUCACCCCGGCCUCCGUCCCCUCCACCUUCUGCUGCAACUCCAUCCUCUGCUCCCUCCCGGAGCCCAGCGCCCUCGGCUUCCUCCGCCGCAUGCGCGGCCUCGGGCGCCGCGGGAACGCCUUCUCCCUGGCCAUCAUCCUCAAGCCCUGCCGCACCCUCGCCCACGCGCGCCAGCUGCACGCCAACGUCGUGACCGAGGGCCACCUCCGCGACGCCCUCCUGGCCACCUCGUUGAUGCGGUCCUAUGCUACCUGUGGUGCCGGGGACAGCGCGCGUAAGGUGUUUGACGAAAUGCUUGUCAAGGACGCCGUCGCGUGGAAUGUUCUGAUCACUUGCUAUGCGAGGAAUAAGAGGACGAAGGAUACGCUGAGGCUCUUCGAUGAGAUGAGGAAAGGUGAUGGUGAGGCGGGGCCGGAUGAGGUGACCUGCAUUCUACUCCUCCAGGCAUGCACGAGCCUGGGCGCGCUCGACUUCGGGGAGAAGGUCUGGGAGUACGCGGUGGAACAUGGUUAUGGUGGCGAGCUGAAGGUGCGCAACUCAUUGAUCACGAUGUACACGAGGUGCGGGUGUGUGGAGAAGGCGUACCAGGUUUUCUGUGAGACUCCUCGGAAGAGUGUGGUCACAUGGAGUGCGAUGAUCUCUGGAUUUGCAGCCAAUGGCUUCGGGGAGGAUGCUAUCUCGGCAUUUGAGGAAAUGAGUAGAUCAGGUGUUGCUCCUGAUGCGCAGACUUUUACUGGUGUGCUCUCUGCGUGCAGCCAUAGUGGGCUGGUUGAUGAGGGUUUCAGGUUUUUUGAUAUGAUGCUCCGUGAGUAUCAGAUGAUGCCAAAUGUUCGCCAUUAUGGAUGCAUUGUUGAUCUAAUGGGCCGUGCUGGGUUGCUUGAUGAGGCAUACCAUCUUGUGGUUGAAGAGAUGAAGGUUGCACCUGAUGCAACGAUUUGGCGAACUCUUCUUGGUGCAUGCCGAGUUCAUGGUCAUGUUGAUCUUGGAGAGAAGGUCAUUAGUCAUCUAAUUGAACUGAAAGCGCAGCAAGCUGGAGAUUAUGUUCUCCUGUUAAAUACCUAUGCGGCGGUUGGGGAUUGGAUAAAGGUGGCGGAAGUUAGGAAGUUGAUGAAGGAAAAUGGAAUCCAAACUACUCCUGGCUGCACAACAGUAGAGCUUAACGGUGAGCUCCAUGAGUUUAUUGCAGAUGAUGAUUCACAUCCAAGGAAGGCUGAGAUUUACGGGAAGCUUGAUGAGAUAAACAGGCAUUUGAGAAUUGCUGGUUAUGUUCCAAAUGUGUCAUCUGAGUUGCAUGAUUUGGAUUCAGAGGGGAAGGAAUGUGCCCUGACCUAUCACAGUGAAAAGCUAGCAAUCGCUUUUGCUCUUCUUGUGAUGCCACAACGUAGACCAAUACGCCUGGCAAAGAAUCUUCGUGUUUGUGUAGAUUGCCACAAUUUCACAAAGGUAUUUUCUGGUGUUUAUAACCGAUUAGUGAUUGUAAGAGACAGAACUCGAUUUCAUCAUUUCGAGGGAGGCCAGUGUUCAUGCAAUGAUUAUUGGUAG
rnacentral:rRNA from 1 species